GGGUAAAAUUAGAUUGUUUAUUAGCAGAUACACUAAAUUUGCAUCUUUGUCAUUUCAUGAUCAUUUGACGUGUGCUUUGCAACUGGUGCUGAUCUGUGUGACUAAAAUGAAUGACACUUUUAACAGUCCUUUCAAUACUAAGUAAAAAUAACCUAUAAAUUCAUGCAAAGAAUAUAAACAAAAUUAAACACCUUAGCUAAGGUGUAUAUAUAUAUAUAUGUAUGUGUGUAUAUAUAUAUACACAUAUAUAUACGUAUAUAUAUAUGCCACCAAAUUUCUAAUUUCUUGUUAGAAAUUAGGUAUAUAAGUAUACAUACAUAUACAUAUACAUACUGAAUUGUAUAUUUUUGUUAUGAAUUAGGCAGAUGAAACUUCUAUACACUAUAUUUUAGCCAGAUAUUUAGGCUGUUAAAUUAAUUGACUAUAGUCAAUUGGCCCUCAUUUUAGCAGAAGAGAUAACUUCUCUCAAGAUCUAUGCUGUUUUCAUUCCACUCACUGUUGACAGAUUAUGACAAAACAUUAAAUACGUACUUAUCUAAUAACUACCCAUCUUUUGUUGUUGUUUGUCUUGCAUCAAAUUCCCAUUGACUCACCAUUUUCAUAAAACUGUUAUUUAUAUGCGUGAAAUAAUUCAAAUUGAAUGUAAAUUCUGUUACAACAAUUUGUAUCACUUAUACAAAAGCUUCUAUAAUUAUAAAAGAUAGUUGUUUUUCCACCUUAUUCCCAAAAUAUCCUAUAAUCACCUAACCUUUAUACUGUGAUUCAACAGUUUUUUGUUUGUUUGUUUGUUUGUUUUGUUUUUUUGAGACGGAGUCUCUCUCUGUCGCUUAGGCUGGAGUGCAGUGGCGCGAUCUCAGCUCACUGCAACCUCUGCCUCCUGGGUUCAAGCGAUUCUCAUGCCUCAGUCUCCUGAGUAACUGGAAUUACAGGCGCCUGCCACGACGCUGGACUAAUUUCUGUAUUUUUUAUUAGAGACAGGGCUUCGCCAUGUUGUCCAGGCUGGUCUCGAACUCCUGACCUAAAAUGAUGCACCCGCCUUGGCCUCUCAAAAUGCUGGGAUUACAGUUGCAAGCCACUGUGCCCGACUAACAUCUUUUUUAGAUGAAAAAUGAAGCAGCCAGCAUAAACAGAUUUUUCUCCAAUGAAUGUGGGAGGAUCACUCCAAACUUAUUCCAGAAGUCCCUGAAUGAGCUCUUCCAACAAGUGAAAGGUUUCCUUGGAAGUCCUGGAGUGUGAUUCCUCUAGCUUUCUUCUUUAUGUUCAAGAUAGCUUUGGUUAUGUGAAGACUUUUGUGAUUCCAUAUGAAUCAAAAAAUGAUCAUGGAUAACCUAUGAAAGUUUCUGUUCCUUGCUGUGCCAGUUAUCCAAAGUUUUAAUAUGAAAUAAGAUUAUCUUGGCAUUUUGUUUCUCCUGCUGUCAAUGUAGAAUGUAGAUAUUAUUAUGAGAGCUUCAGCUGCCAUUUUGGAUCAUGAGGAAACAAUUCCAUGUAGCUGGGGAGGCCUCACAAUCAAGGCAAAAGGCCAAAGCCACUUCUUACAAGGCAGUGGCAAGAGAGAAUGAGACCCAAGCAAAAGC
rnacentral:lncRNA from 10 species